CUUCAUGAAUGUCAUAUUCUUUGAAACUCAAGACAACUCUGUGAUUUUGGUACUGUUGUUUUAUCAGCACUGUUUUAUGCACAAGAAACCUAAAUUUAAGCCUCAAAGAAAUUAAACACAUUAAAUGAUCAAAUAAAUCACAAGUGCCAGAAAUGCGAUUCAAACUCAUGUCUUUUGACUCCAAGGCUAACAUACUUUCCUUCAUGGUAUGUACCCUUUAGAAAUCCAUUAUAUGAUGAUAGUCCAUUUCAAUGAGAUGCUGAAUCCAUCUGGAAACUAUAUUUCAGAAAAUUUAUUUUUUCUCAUCUUGAUUUCCCCAAAAUUGAUUUCUAGGUCCAUUACUUUUGAUUCUUUGUAGAUAUCUGAAGAAACCUGGUCUUUUUUCAGAGCAUUGUAAUCCUAACAAUGUUGUCUACAAACUGUAGAACAUCUUAAAAGGAAACUCUUUCACUGGUACUUCUUACACCUUGUCCAUGACACUGAAUCACAUGUUAUGCCAGGUGAUGGUGUUGCAAAUACAAAAGUAAGGCAGCUCCUGACCUCAGAUCCCCUGACUUCAGUGACUUCUGCUGGUCCGGAAUCUCACCUGUCAUGCUGGCACAUUAAGAAACAUGACUCUGUGACUCCCAAGGCUCCUUAUUAUGGUGAGUUUUCUGGGAUUGGACUGAAUUGGAGAUCCCCCAGAUAUUUAGUUCACAAAGUGGCCUCUUUGGCUUUGAUCAUUGUAAGCACGUUAAGGUGAGAC
rnacentral:lncRNA from 1 species